GCCAUGUCCGUUGAUUUAGAACCAAUUUUGAUUGUAGGCUACAAUUACAAUUAACUUUUAUAAUUAGGCUAAAUUGCCCAAAUUAAAAGAUUGACAUGCUUGAAAAAGUCAAAAAGGUUUGGAUUUAUUUCAACAUUAGGACAAAAUUAAAAAAAAUAGCAAAGAAAAUUAAAGAGCAGUAUUUGUGAAACAAAGUACUAGAGCAUGAGAGAUUAUUCUCCAAACACCAAAUCAAACCUCUAGUCUCAAACAAGAAACCAUAACCACUUUCAAGCUAUGAAGUGAAAGCAACGAGACACAUGUAGCAAGUCAAGGGCAUGCAUUGAAAGAUGAAACAGUGGUACCCCAUGAAUUCAAAGAAUGCCUGAUCCCGCGUUAAAAAUAAAAUAAAAUAAAGAAAUUUUCAUAUGUUGCACAAUCUACCACCCAAAAGUAGGAACCAGUGCCCAUACAAUAGAAAACAAAUAAAUCAAGAGAACUCGGUGGACACUUUCAAGUUUUAAAGAUGACAGUGCUUAGAAUUCAGUAAAUUGAUGCAAAAGUAUAUAAACCAACAAACUGAGUUCUGGCUUAAAAGGUAAAUAAUAA
rnacentral:misc_RNA from 1 species